rnacentral:tRNA from 1 species
CAAAUUAGAGCUUGGUAUAAGUAUUUCAUUUACAUUGAAAGGAAAUUAAAUAAUUAAUUAAUUUGA